rnacentral:rRNA from 1 species
AUUGAACGCUGGCGGCAUGCCUUACACAUGCAAGUCGAACGGCAGCACGGGGCAACCUGGUGGCGAGUGGCGAACGGGUGAGUAAUGCAUCGGAACGUGCCAUUGAGUGGGGGAUAACGUAGCGAAAGUUGCGCUAAUACCGCAUAUUCUGUGAGCAGGAAAGCAGGGGGACCGCAAGGCCUUGCGCUCUUUGAGCGGCCGAUGUCAGAUUAGCUAGUUGGUGAGGUAGCGGGCUUUACCAAAGGCGACGAUCUGUAGCGGGUCUGAGAGGAUGAUCGCCACACUGGAACUGAGACACGGUCCAGACUCCUACGGAGGCAGCAGUGGGGAAUUUUGGACAAUGGGCGCAAGCCUGAUCCAGCCAUGCCGCGUGAGUGAAGAAGG